CUUCGUAGUGGGUGUAUCUUUCGCUGCUUCGUCUUUAGUUUAUCCAGUGGCUUACCGUGGCAAAGGAGUUUUGUUCAUCCAUUUGGUUAUCUGUAGGCUCAGUGAGUGUCAGAAUACACCGUGGUAUAACCAGUUUUAUGCAUUAAAUAGAAAUUAAAGUGAACGAGUUCCAUAGUGUAAUAGGGUUGGUAAAGAAGGCAGUGAGUGGCAUAAGGAAACCCAAUUUAUUUUGACAACUGAACACGCCCGUCGUCUGCUUCGUCUGUCUAAUGUAAGUGUGCAUACGAACGUGCAGUCUGAUAUGGGGGAGGCAAUGUGUAUGUAUAUUUUAUUUAUGUUUAGUUUCGUGGUCGCGGGCCGGCUGCUGGUUGCAAAUGCAGGCUUGGGUAUUGAAUGAAGAUGAAAGGUAAAGCUGGAAAAAAAAAAA